rnacentral:rRNA from 1 species
UAGGGGGCAAGCGUUAUCCGGAUUUACUGGGUGUAAAGGCAGCGUAGGUGGAAGGGUAAGUCAGAUGUGAAAACCCGGGGCCCAACCCAGGGAGUGCAUUUGAAACUGUCCGGCUGGAGUGCAGGAGAGGUAAGCGGAAUUCCUAGUGUAGCGGUGAAAUGCACAGAUAUUAGGAGGAACACCAGUGGCGAAGGCGGCUUACUGGACUGUAACUGACACUGAGGCUCGAAAGCGUGGGGAGCA